UUGGCUGUGGCUCAGUGGUAGAGCAUCUGUUUCCUAUGUAGAAGGCCCCAGGUUCAAUCCCUGGCAUUUCCAGUUAAA